ACCCGCUGAACUUAAGCAUAUCAAUAAGCGGAGGAAAAGAAACCAACAGGGAUUGCCCUAGUAACGGCGAGUGAAGCGGCAACAGCUCAAAUUUGAAAUCUGGCUCUUUCAGAGUCCGAGUUGUAAUUUUCAGAGGGCGCUUUGGCGUUGGCAGCGGUCCAAGUUCUUUGGAACAGGACGUCACAGAGGGUGAGAAUCCCGUACGUGGUCGCUAGCCUUCGCCGUGUAAAGCCCCUUCGACGAGUCGAAUUGUUUGGGAAUGCAGUUCUAAAUUGGAGGUAAAUUUCUUCUAAAGCUAAAUACUGGCCAGAGACCGAUAGCGCACAAGUAGAGUGAUCGAAAGAUGAAAAGCACUUUGGAAAGAGAGUCAAACAGCACGUGAAAUUGUUGAAAGGGAAGCGCUUGCAGCCAGACUUGCCUGUAGUUGCUUAUCCAGACUUUUGUCUGGUGCACUCUUCUGCGGGCAGGCCAGCAUCAGUUUGGGCGGUUGGAUAAAGGUCUCUGUCGUGUACUUCUCUUCGGGGAAGCCGUAUAGGGGAGGCGACAUGCAACCAGCCUGGACUGAGGUCCGCGCAUCUGCUAGGAUGCUGGCGUAAUGGCUGU
rnacentral:rRNA from 1 species